rnacentral:lncRNA from 1 species
GGAAUCAGGUCCGCGUGGUGGAGGGUUUGGGGCAGGGGCGGGUAAAUAUGAGGAAAGGGCCAGACAGUGAAUAUUUUAGGGUUUGUGGCUGUGCAACUCUGCUGUUGUAGUGCAGAAGCAGCCGUGGGUGAUACCUGGGCAAAUGGGCCUGGCUGUGUUCCCAUGAAAAUGCAUUUACUAUAACAGAUGCCAAGAGGAUUAGGCCACCAACUUUGGCGUGUGCUCUUCGGGCCUGCCGUCUAACAGAAUGAGGGUUCCAGCGGUGUUCGCAUCAUCAGACGUCUAGUGUUCUGCACAUAAAACAAGCUCUUGAGGUCAGGAGACAACAUGCAAUCUAGCAGGCAGGUAGCUCGUGAAGCGUCUCAUCUCCCAGCAUAACAAGUGCUUCUCCAUCCAUAUGUACAGAAUUCCACUCUCCAGGUGGGAACGUUGUGAUGGAAUACGCUCUGAGAGAUAGAGGAGGCGACUUCUGCCAGGAGUGAUCAGGAGGACUUCUUGGAGGAGGCAGCACUUGAGCUGGUCUUGAAAGAUGAUGAGAUUUUAAUGGGAAAAGAGAUGAUCGAGAAGAACCUUCUAGCAGGAGGGAGCUGCCCUAGCAAAGACAGGAAGGCUGGAAAAUGCGAGAAGUGGGACAGGAAGAUCAACACAGGACCUCUCCCUUCUGAGCCAAACUGACACCUACCUCUUGCCAUGACAGGCCGCUCUUCUGGAGAUUAUAAACUAUUUAUUUUUAACAGAGAAACUGCCUUAGUUGGAGUUCUGGCUCUGCCACUUACUUAGGACCUCUAAUUACUACUGCGUUCUUAUGAGGAGUGCCUUGUGCUUUGCAGCAUCUAACGUCUUGGUAGUGACCUGCCAGUGCCUGUCCAACCUGUCAGCAGAUCACGGUCGCGAACCCUGGGAGAGAGGUCGGCGCUGCCUCAGGUCUGAAAUGAUGUCUUCUCUUUCCUGUUUUCUGAGCAGCUCAUUCUGCUGCCCGUCAAAUAGGCCCUUUCCCCAGGACCCUUGGGGUCCAGCUGAGUGGAGCAGCCUCCCACACUGGAAGCCUUGAGUUUUCCCCACCUGGGCCUUUCUCUCUGUCCCUGACAUCCGGUUGGUCACCAGAUCCUGGCAGUUGAAAGUCAUUCUCAAGUCCAGCCCCACCACUGCACCUCGGUCCAUGCUCCUGGACACCAGUCUCUCACCGAGCGCUAUGCGUGGCUUGCGUCUGCGGCUGAGAAAUCCUUUCAAACGCACGCCUUCCCUAUUAUAUCCAGCAUAGGAUCUGACCCGGCAGGACCUCAGUAAAGACUUGUGGCUGCUUUAAGAGUGGGCACCUGCCGUCACAUUUUCCUCAGCAUUUUCCCUAUGCUGCUGGCGCAUUGGGUAGCUCUACUCAACCCAUGACGGAUUGCAGAUCUUUUGGCCGCUGCAUUCACAAAUUUGUCCCGAGCCGCUCCAUGGAAGGCAUCCCAGAAGCCUAUCAAUCUUCCCAUGAGUGUUCAAGAUUCCCAAAUCCCCAAAAGGCCCUAAUACCAUCUCUGUGUGAGCAGCUGCCCAUGUGUUGGGGAGUGCCCUGCCUGAGGCAGAGGGCGCACUGCAUCUGUUUGGAGGUGGGUGAGCCUCACGUGUUCUGCACAGGGCAUGAGGUAGGCAUUGGAGAGCAGCCCUGGCCCCCCCACCCAGGGGACAGUAGGUGGGGUUCUAAAUUAUGAGUCAUUAAUCAGCUCUUCAUAUGUCUGAAUUAUUCAUAAAGUAAGUGCUUGUGGUUUGGAUGCUAGUCUAUGAAUAUAUAGGCAAAUUAUUUAUUAUGGCAUUUACAUGGAUUUUGCAAAAAAGUUUUCCAGAAACCCUUUAGGUUCAGUGGUUGAAUUUAACAAAUAUUUCCUGUGCACCUACUCUAUGACAGAAAUUGUGAUUGGCGUUAAAGACAUAAAGAUGAAUAGGAUAAUAAGCACCUGCCUUCAGUGUGCUCUGGGUUAGCAGGGAGAACACACAAUCCAGCUGGUCCACAGAGGCUGACUUAUUAACAACAUUUAUCACAGCAUGUGGGAAAUAUGAGCUAACUGUAUUUCAGAUAGUAACAUGACCACGCCAAAACCAAACCAAAUCAAAACAAGGCAAGAAACCAAACCAACAAACCAACCCCACCACCACAACAGAAACUAACCCAAGUAACAUUGAACACGGAACCUUGACCUAUAACCCUUGUCCUGCAGACAAAAUACCUGCAAACAAAUAUUGAACUUGACUUGUGGGUUUGCUUUCACUGUGGUGCAAGGUAGCAAUUCUGUAAUGAUUUUCUGUCUUGUAGGGUUGAGCAAAUACAAGAUUCCACCAGUGCUGUUGGAAGCCAGCGUUCUUGUUUUUGGAAAGGGGACAUUUUCUUUCUUUCUCUUAUUUUUUUCCCUCCCUCCCUCCCUCCCUCCCUCCCUCCCUCCCUUCCUUCCUUUCCGUCAAAGCACUUACAAUCUUCUCACAUACUAUACAAUUUACUUAUUUAUUGUGUUCCCCAUUUGGUGUCUGUCUUCCCCCCGGGGGCAGGGCUCUUUGCUGCUUCAUCCAAUAUGUGUUCACGAUCUGAGUGCCUGCAAUAGUAGGCAUGUGCUUAUCUAGUGAAUGAUGGGCAAUGGUGGUGGAGAUGCAGAUUAGGACCAGGUCAUGGGGAGUACUGGAUUACGAAAGUGAACACAUUUGGAUUUCAGCCUGUUGGAAAAUGAGAUGAUGCUGGAAGUGGUGAAGGGGCUGCAACAUGAUGAGAG